rnacentral:piRNA from 1 species
UGGUAUGUAUUGGAAGGGAGAUAUCAAAGC